GGACCAAGGAGUCUAGCAUGUGCGCGAGUCAUUGGGAUAAAAUUCCUAAAGGCGUAAUGAAAGUAAAUGUUUACCUUGUGUAAACAGAGGGAAGAUGGGUGGCGCUUUGACGCUGCCCCGCACUCCCGGGGCGUCGCGCACUCAUUGCGAGGUGCGGCGCACCUAGAGCGUACACGCUGGGACCC
rnacentral:rRNA from 1 species